AUGAAUUGCACUGGAAGCUGAUGCUGGCGAGCUGAUUUUUUUUGGCUGCAUGUGCUCGCUUCUAACAAUUUUUAUCCAAACACCUGUGCACUUUUGUGAAGAGGGUCUUGCAGGAUGGAUUACUGGUCUUUCCAGUGAUUUUCUUGUGGGUUCCCUUCUUCCCCCCCCAUACAUACUCCUUCAGUAUUAUUGAAUGUGCUUGUGCCGCAAGGCUUAUAAAUGUAAUA
rnacentral:misc_RNA from 1 species